rnacentral:rRNA from 1 species
GUCUGUGGCCACACUUGAAUGUCACUGAUCCCAUCUGAUCUUGAAAGCUAAGCCGGGUCAGACCUGGUUAGCAUUUGGAUGGGAGAUCAUACACAAAAAGCAUAUAGGACACACUGUUC